CACGUAGGGCGCAAGCGUUGUCCGGAAUUAUUGGGCGUAAAGAGCUCGUAGGCGGUCUGUUGCGUCCGCUGUGAAAACCCGGGGCUUAACCCUGGGCUGGCAGUGGAUACGGACAGACUAGAGGUAGGUAGGGGAGAAUGGAAUUCCCGGUGUAGCGGUGAAAUGCGCAGAUAUCGGGAGGAACACCGGUGGCGAAGGCGGUUCUCUGGACGGUGACUGACACUCAGGGACGAAAGCUAGGGGAGCGAAUGGG
rnacentral:rRNA from 1 species